CUGGCAUUCACGUAGAUUUUUUUAAAAAGAUUUUUUGUUUUUCCAUAGAUUUCAUAGUUAUGAAGUCAGCAAAAUUACAUCUUUGUUUAACCCUGAAGAUCUAGAAAUCACCUCUCUGUCUCUUUUUUCUCUGCAGCAUCUGACACUAUAUUCCACCUGGAACUGAAGCAGAAGAGUGGAUUACCAACCCAGGGUCACUUUUGGAAAGCAAACUUCCACCUUGGGGUACAAGUAGUAAUUGGAGAACACGGGGAAUGGGGGGAGGGAGGCUGAGAUCCUUUCUUCCACUUUCUACAUCCUAUUGCACUCUUUUGUUAUUGAAGAAUACAAGUUACAAAAGAGACUGGUGCUCCUUUCAGCAUUUUUCCUGCCUG
rnacentral:lncRNA from 1 species